CUUGCUAAUUUCACACCUUAAUUGCUUCAUAAUCAAGAAAAGAAGAACAAAAGAAGAAGAGAAUAAAAUGAUCAAAGAAAAGAUCAAAGAGUUGAUUGCGAUCCAGGCUUCGUUCAGAUUCGCAGGGUGAUUGUUCUUGGAGAAAAAAGAUCAACAUUAAAAAGGGCUAUUCCAGACUAAUUCUGAGUGGGUACCAUAGAGGUCGGAUACUUACGC
rnacentral:lncRNA from 1 species